CCUACGGGGGGCAGCAGUAAGGAAUCUUCCGCAAUGGACGAAAGUCUGACGGAGCAACACCGCGUGCAGGAUGACGGCCUUCGGGUUGUAAACUGCUUUUAUAUGGGAAGCGGUACCAUAUGAAUAAGGACCGGCUAACUACGUGCCAGCAGCCGCGGUAAUACGUAGGGUCCAAGCGUUAUCCGGAAUCACUGGGCGUAAAGCGUGCGUAGGUGGAUUGUUAAGUGCGAUGCGAAAUCCUGGGGCUCAACCCCAUGGAUGUAUAGCAUACUGGCAAUCUAGAGGAUAUGAGAGGCAAGUGGAAUUACUGGUGUAGCAGUGAAAUGCGUAGAUAUCAGUAGGAACACCAAUGGCGAAGGCAGCUUGCUGCUAUUUCUGACGCUAAGGCACGAAAGCGUGGGGAGCGAACAGGAUUAGAUACCCUUGUAGUC
rnacentral:rRNA from 1 species